UACGAAGGGGGCUAGCGUUGCUCGGAAUCACUGGGCGUAAAGCGCACGUAGGCGGCUUUCUAAGUCAGGGGUGAAAUCCUGGAGCUCAACUCCAGAACUGCCUUUGAUACUGGAGAGCUCGAGUCCGGAAGAGGUGAGUGGAACUGCGAGUGUAGAGGUGAAAUUCGUAGAUAUUCGCAAGAACACCAGUGGCGAAGGCGGACUCACUGGUCCGGUACUGACGCUGAGGUGCGAAAGCGUGGGAGCAACAGG
rnacentral:rRNA from 1 species